CGAGAUAAUCAAGACCCACUUGGCAUGUGCAUGGCGCGUGUGAGGAAGGGAUAAAGAAGACUCCCACCGGGAGUCUUCUUCUCUCUUGAUUCCAUCAGAAUCAAGGCCGCCGCAGUCUGGAUUAGCUUAGGAAAACUUGUCUAUACGAGUCCCCUUCCUCUCUCUCGGAUCUUCAAAGUUGCUUGAGGAAUCACCGUGACUAGUCUGGAGUUUAUCCCAUUCUUCCGUCGAUUGCCGCUGAGAAAAAAGGGUCAUCGGAACCCUUCUCUAGCCAUAGGAGCGAGAGACUCCAAAAAUUUAGUUCAGAUGAGUUAGGUGAGAAGUUGAGUAUUGGAACUCUCAGUGCUUAGUUAGUUAAAUUUUCUGAUAUCAUUGGAUAUUUGAAUAUUUGUAAUUGAACAAGUUAGCUAUUUAUUUUGAUGGAUCGACUUUGAUU